UACGAAGGGGGCUAGCGUUGUUCGGAAUUACUGGGCGUAAAGAGCUCGUAGGCGGUUUGUCGCGUCUGCUGUGAAAACUGGAGGCUCAACCUCCAGCCUGCAGUGGGUACGGGCAGACUAGAGUGCGGUAGGGGAGAUUGGAAUUCCUGGUGUAGCGGUGGAAUGCGCAGAUAUCAGGAGGAACACCGAUGGCGAAGGCAGAUCUCUGGGCCGUAACUGACGCUGAGGAGCGAAAGCAUGGGGAGCGAACAGG
rnacentral:rRNA from 1 species